CCUACGGGUGGCAGCAGUGAGGAAUAUUGGGCAAUGGGGGCAACCCUGACCCAGCCAUGCCGCGUGAGUGAAGAAGGUCUUCGGAUUGUAAAGCUCUUUCGGACGUGACGAUGAUGACGGUAGCGUCUAAAUAAGCACCGGCAAACUUCGUGCCAGCCGCCGCGGUAAUACGAAGGGUGCGAGCGUUAUCCGGAUUUACUGGGUGUAAAGGGGGCGCAGACGGCAGCGCAAGCCAGGAGUGAAAGCCCGGGGCCCAACCCCGGGACUGCUCUUGGAACUGCGCGGCUGGAGUGCAGGAGGGGCAGGCGGAAUUCCUGGUGUAGCGGUGAAAUGCGUAGAUAUCAGGAGGAACACCGGUGGCGAAGGCGGCCUGCUGGACUGCGACUGACGUUGAGGCCCGAAAGCGUGGGGAGCAAACAGGAUUAGAUACCCGAGUAGUC
rnacentral:rRNA from 1 species